GUAAAAGUCAGAAUUUGUGUUGCUGAUAGGUGUUGGCCUUGUAAAACUGGAAAAAAGGAAUCACAUUUUCUAUAACAUAUGAAUGCACAAGUGAUUCAUUCUUUGGCUCAGGAUGGAAACAUUUAUUUUUGGCACUCUUGAUUCUUCUUUCUUCAUUAGCUUCACAGAUUUUUCUCAAUACGAUGUCGACGUUGGAUGGGCUUCAUUCACAAGGAAACACCAAGAUAAAUGGGGUCUUUGGGCUGAAAAGAAUCUAGAGUCAUCUCCAGUGAUGAAGAGUCCCGAUGAUUAAUGAAACCACCUUUGCGAAGAUUAUGACAGCAAGAGGAGUCUAACAUGACCAACUCCAUCUUGCUUCUAGCCUCACAGACUGGCUGUCUUCACGCAUUCCUGGGCAUAGGAAGCUAACCAUGGAAGGGAUUUAGUUUCUAGUUUAAUGUGGAAGCAAGGAUGACAAUCCCUCCCUAAAACUGAUCCCCUCCUUGUUCAGGAGCUGAAACCACCUUUGUAAAACUGAUGAAAGACCGCAAGAUUAGAACUAUGGGAGUGGCCUAAAUUCUGCUAAAAUAUAGUUUCUAUAAUCCCUUACUACUCAGGAGUCAUGUGGCCAGAGGUCACAAGAUUUGUGACUUCCCCUAUUGCUCCUAUAGAUAACAUUAUGAUUGUAGAACUUAAGAUUGAUCUUUUGAGAUGUUUUUCAGACUUUUGCAUUUUGGCCACUGACCGACGCUACUGACUCAUGACUCAGCCGGUCCCAUGGCCCCCACCCAGAGGCAGACUCAGUGCAUGAGGACCAUCUUCCACAACCCUAUGAUUGUAUCCUCAGUCAGUCAGCAACACGUAUUCCCUAGUCCCCUACCCACCAAGGUAUCCUUAAGAAACCCUAACCUCCAAGCCUUCAGGAAGACUGAUUUGAGUAAUAACUCCAUCUUCCAUGUGGCCAGCCUAGUGUUAAUUAAACUCUUUCUUUACUGCAAUACCACAAUCUCAGUAAAUUGGAUUUGUCUGUGCAGAGGGUAGACCAAAUCCAUCAGGUGAUUGCAUUAAGAGUUGUUCUCUUCCUUGGCAAGGGAGAGGACACCUUUAUAAACGCAUAACCUAAAAAUAAAAUCCUAAGCCCACACUGACUGAACAGAUCCUUCUUGGCCAUGGAGACACAAAAAACCUUAAGAACUGAAUUUCCAACCAUGACAGCAAGUGAGGUUGAACACACUUUUUUAUACUCCCUCCCUUCUGGAGUUUAGGCACAACUGACCAGUAUUAAUGUUAAAAUAGAGAUCAUAAGACUGACAAAACAGACUCUUUGUGACAGUAAGAUACCAAAUUGUAAACAGGACCUAUGACCAUGCCAGACAAGGGUUAAGUCACAUCCCUACAGGUCACUCUGACCCAGUGUAUUGGGUAAUGAACCUCCUUAACUUAAACAUUCCUUUCUACCGACUUCAAAUCUUUAGACAAAGCUUAAUUUUUUCAACCAAUUUCCAACUAAAGAAUCCCCAAAACCCACCUAUGACUUGUAAGUGCUCUUCUCCCCACCUCAGGAUGUCCUGCCUUUUUGGGCUGAACCGAUAUUGUCUUCCAUAAAGUGAUUUAUGUCUUUAGCUGUAAUUCCUAUCUCCUUGAAAUGUAUACAACCAAACUAUAACCCGACUGCUUUGGACACACUUUCUCUGAUUUUUUUUUUUUUUUUUUUGACAUAGUCUCCCUCUGUUGCCCAGGCUGGAGUGCUGUGGAAUGAUCUCGGCUCACUGCAGCCUCUACCUCCGGGGUUCAAGUGAUUCUCAUGCCUCAGCCUCCCGAGUAGCUGGGACUACAGGUGCCCACCACCAUGCCCAACUAAUUUUUGCAUUUUUAGUAUAGACAGUGUUUCACCAUGUUUGCCAGGCUGGUCUUGAACUCCUCACCUCAAGUGAUCCACCUGCUUUGGCCUCCCAAAGUGCUGAGAUUACAGGUGUGAGCCACUGUGCCUGGCCAUGAGCGCACUUUCUCAAGACCACUUAAGGUUGUUUUUCUCCAGGUCAUGGCCCUUCAUGUUGGCUCUGAAAAAUCUCUUUAAACUGUUUUGCAGACUUUGGUUUUUCCAUUAAAAAUGGAAAGUCAUGUCCUGCUUUUAGCCAGAUAGGGGGAGGGCAGAGAGUUUUUGUUUGUUUGUUUGUUUGUUUUUUGUUUUCUGUCUGCUGUUUCUUGAUUGUCUUCAGCUCAAAAUAAUUCUUAUGCCAAAGUGGCAUAUUUUGGGGUGUCAUAUUCUGGUUCCCUUCACCACAUUUUGUUUAUCCAUUCAUCCAUUGAUGGACACUUGGGUUGUUAGGCUUUUUAAAAAUACUCCCAAAAUGUCUUAUCAAGACAUUAAUUUGAAACAAGUGCAGUGCUCUCUCUAAAAGGAAUUCUACUGAAUAAAAUUUCUCCAUUGUUACCAACAGCAGACUGUGUUUUGGCUGCCAGGUUAAAAAAGCAAGUUAAACCAGCAUUAAGUAAAUAAUCGACCAUUAUUUCAGAAGGGUGUCUUCAUCUAUCUGAGAGUUCCAGAAUCCCCAUCUGCAAAUGCUGGCUAAAUAGUGAUCUUCACUUGUCAUUGCAAC
rnacentral:lncRNA from 10 species